CCCUUAGAUGUUCUGGGCCGCACGCGUGCUACACUGAGUGGAUCAGCGGGUCAGGUUGCGCGAAAGUGUUUCCUAAUCUUGAAAUCCGCUCGUGAUGGGGAUUGACGGUUGCAAUUUUCCGUCAUGAACGAGGAAUACCUUGUAAGCGCGAGUCAUCAUCUCGCGUUGAUUACGUCCCUGCCCUUUGUACACACCGCCCGUCGCUCCUACCGAUUGAACGUGCUGGUGAAGCGUUAGGACUGGCUCUCGGGGCAGGUCUCCUGCCCCUUGAAUCGGGAAUUUCGUUGAACCCUCCCGUUUAGAGGAAGGAGAAGUCGUAACA
rnacentral:rRNA from 1 species